ACCGAGCGGAACCAACAGAUUUACUUCGGUAAUGACGUUGGGAAAGCGAGCGGCGGAUGGGUGAGUAACACGUGGGGAACCUGCCCCUAAGUCUGGGAUACCAUUUGGAAACAGGUGCUAAUACCGGAUAAGAAAGCAGAUCGCAUGAUCAGCUUUUAAAAGGCGGCGUAAGCUGUCGCUAAGGGAUGGCCCCGCGGUGCAUUAGCUAGUUGGUAAGGUAACGGCUUACCAAGGCAACGAUGCAUAGCCGAGUUGAGAGACUGAUCGGCCACAUUGGGACUGAGACACGGCCCAAACUCCUACGGGAGGCAGCAGUAGGGAAUCUUCCACAAUGGACGCAAGUCUGAUGGAGCAACGCCGCGUGAGUGAAGAAGGUUUUCGGAUCGUAAAGCUCUGUUGUUGGUGA
rnacentral:rRNA from 1 species